UCAGACAGGGAGGAAGUACCCCCUAGACCAGGGAUCACGUGUUUCUCUACUAUGCCCGGGAACACAUUUACAAAAUAAAAAUAACUGUUUUUUAAAAAUGUCUAACAAUAAAAAUGAAAUAUCUUGUCUUGAUAUAAAAAAAUAUGCUCAGAAAACUGGGAGGGGGUCAAAUAAAACCAGUUGGGGAACCCAGUCCUAGACACUGGUCCUAGAUCAGUGGUUAGGAUAGUAUCUAAUGGUUCAGGUUAGGAUUGUAGGAGGGUAAUCUGGUCCUAGGUUAGUAUCUAAUGGUUCAGGUUAGGAUUGUAGGAGGGUAAUCUGGUCCUAGGUUAGUAUCUAAUGGUUCAGGUUAGGAUUGUAGGAGGGUAAUCUGGUCCUAGGUUAGUAUCUAAUGGUUCAGGUUAGGAUUGUAGGAGGGUAAUCUGGUCCUAGGUUAGUAUCUAAUGGUUCAGGUUAGGAUUGUAGGAGGGUAAUCUGGUCCUAGGUUAGUAUCUAAUGGUUCAGGUUAGGAUUGUAGGAGGGUAAUCUGGUCCUAGGUUAGUAUCUAAUGGUUCAGGUUAGGAUUGUAGGAGGGUAAUCUGGUCCUAGGUUAGUAUCUAAUGGUUCAGGUUAGGAUUGUAGGAGGGUAAUCUGGUCCUAGGUUAGUAUCUAAUGGUUCAGGUGAGGAUUGUAGGAGGGUAAUCUGGUCCUAGAUCAGUGGGUAGGAUAGUAUCUAAUGGUUCAGGUCAGGAUUCAAUCACACCCGGAGCAACAUAUGGUGUGUCCUACAGUGGGCGUGUUUUGAGCCCUGGUAGUACACUAUAUAGGGAAUAGGGUGCCAUUUGGGUCACGGCCGUGGGGAGUAAAGCAGUAGAGACCGUCAGGGAAGGAAAACCAUCAACAUUCCAAAAGGUCGGAAUUCACAUUUUUUUGGGGGAAAGCUGUUAGAUCCAACUGAUGGUGAAGUUCUGGCUGAGAUUCAGUCCCAGAUCUGUUACAGUCAACACCUGGAGGGAGACGAACA